rnacentral:rRNA from 1 species
UACGAAGGGGGCUAGCGUUGCUCGGAAUCACUGGGCGUAAAGCGCACGUAGGCCGAUUGUUAAGUCAGGGGUGAAAUCCUGGAGCUCAACUCCAGAACUGCCCUUGAUACUGACGGUCUCGAGUCCGGGAGAGGUGAGUGGAACUGCGAGUGUAGAGGUGAAAUUCGUAGAUAUCAGGAGGAACACCGACGGCGAAGGCAGCACUCUGGGCCGGUACUGACGCUGAGGAGCGAAAGCAUGGGGAGCGAACAGG